rnacentral:rRNA from 1 species
GACAGAGGUGCCGAGCGUUAGGCGGAACCACUGGGCUUAAAGCGUGUGUAGGCGGGUCGUUAAGUGUCUUGUGAAAUCCCACCGCUCAACGGUGGAACUGCUGGGCAUACUGGCGAUCUUGAGCCACCUAGGGGCAGACGGAACAAGCGGUGGAGCGGUGAAAUGCGUAGAUAUCCGGAAGAACACCGGUGGCGAAGGCGGCCUGCUGGGCAGUUGCUGACACUGAGGCGCGACAGCGUGGGGAGCAAACAGG